ACGUUAUGGUGGGCACUCUAAGGAGACUGCCGGUGACAAACCGGAGGAAGGUGGGGAUGACGUCAAGUCAUCAUGGCCCUUACGGCCUGGGCUACACACGUGCUACAAUGGUCGGUACAAAGGGUUGCCAAGCCGCGAGGUGGAGCUAAUACCCAUAAAACCGAUCGUAGUCCGGAUCGCAGUCUGCAACUCGACUGCGUGAAGUCGGAAUCGCUAGUAAUCGUGAAUCAGAAUGUCACGGUGAAUACGUUCCCGGGCCUU
rnacentral:rRNA from 1 species